UUUGGCGAUAGAAGGCUGACAGAGUAUGCAGUGAUCUAUGCAGGCGCAUGGUGGACUGUAGGUGAAUCCAGACUGCUGGUGUGCAAAGCAUUGUGGGUAGGCUGAAUAAACUUAAAAGGACAGCCAGCCGGAACUCUGGUGCUCUUUGGCUGCAGCUUCUUCUCCUGGUCAGAUGCCUCUCAGCGGAGGUGUCCCAGGCAUCCAUCCGCCAUGUCUACUUCUCCUGGGAACUGAGCACAUGCGACUCUGCUAGCAGAACCACAACAAAUGCCUGUGUAAUUUCACCAAUCCGAGCUGCUGUUUUAUUCAGGUAAAGGUGGGAGGGGAGAUACCAGAGCUCUGGAGCUUCCCUGUAUUCCAAAGCACCUCCCAUGUCGUGCCAGGGCUCGAAUCUCGGCUGUGCACUUUGGCAAAGACAGAACAUGCACUUUAGCUGCCUAUCUUGGAUGGAGCUUGAAGAAAUCAUGUUAAGUGAAAUAAGUCAGAAACAGAAGGAUGGGAUGAUCUCACUAUCAGGCAGAAGUUGAAAAACAAGAUCAGAAGAAAAAAAACACAACUAGAACCUGAAC